rnacentral:rRNA from 1 species
ACAGGAUUGAUACCCUGGUAGUCCAUGCCGUAAACGUUGGGCAUAGGUGUGGGGGACAUUCCACGUUUUCCGCGCCGUAGCUAACGCAUUAAGUGCCCCGCCUGGGGAGUACGGCCGCAAGGCUAAAACUCAAAGGAAUUGACGGGGGCCCGCACAAGCGGCGGAGCAUGCGGAUUAAUUCGAUGCAACGCGAAGAACCUUACCAAGGCUUGACAUACACCGGAUCGGCUCAGAGAUGGGUUUUCCUCCUUGUGGGGCUGGUGUACAGGUGGUGCAUGGUUGUCGUCAGCUCGUGUCGUGAGAUGUUGGGUUAAGUCCCGCAACGAGCGCAACCCUCGUUCUAUGUUGCCAGCACGUGAUGGUGGGGACUCAUAGGAGACUGCCGGGGUCAACUCGGAGGAAGGUGGGGAUGACGUCAAAUCAUCAUGCCCCUUAUGUCUUGGGCUUCACGCAUGCUACAAUGGCCAGUACAAUGGGUUGCGAUACCGUGAGGUGGAGCUAAUCCCAAAAAGCUGGUCUCAGUUCGGAUCGUGGUCUGCAACUCGACCACGUGAAGUCGGAGUCGCUAGUAAUCGCAGAUCAGCAACGCUGCGGUGAAUACGUUCCCGGGCCUUGUACACACCGCGCAAGUCACGAAAGUUGGUAACACCCGAAGCCGGUGGCCUAACCCUUGUGGGGGGAGCCGUCGAAGGUGG